rnacentral:rRNA from 1 species
ACCUGAAAUCAAGCAAGAUCACCCGCUGAACUUAAGCAUAUCAGUAAGCGGAGGAAAAGAAACUAACAAGGAUUGCCUUAGUAGUGGCGAAUGAACCGGCAACAGCUCAAAAUGUUAAUCUGGUGUAAUAAGCACUAGAAUUGUAAUCUAAAGGCCUUUUAGGGAAGCCGUGGAACUAGCGUAAUUAUCAGGAACGAUAAGUCAUAGAGGGUGAUAACCCCGUAUACAGCUAGGUCCGGGUGUACCGAAGGGUUCCAAGAGUCGGGUUGUUUGGGAUUGCAGCCCUAAGUGGGAGAUAAACUUCUUCUAAAGCUAAAUAUUUAUGGGAAACCGAUAGCAAACAAGUACUACGAAGGAAAGAUGAAAAGAACUUUGAAAAGAGGGCUAAAAGACUUGAAAUCGUUGAGAAGAAAAGCGGUAGAAGCUAAAUGAUUUUACGAGGUAGUAUGGGCUAUAAUGUCUUCCUUCAUUGUGAUGGUACUUAAUAGGGCCUAGCGGUGAAUCGAUUGGCAUUUAAGUUUUUUUACCUAGUAAAGUGCAAAAUGAGGUCUUAAUCACGGAAACUAACUACGGAGGACUGGGGACUAGAUUUCCUAAGCCGUGGAUACCAA